GGACCCAUGCAUGGCGAACAAGUUGAGCUGUAGGGUUAUGAUGAACAUGCUAAUUACAAGCUAUUGUCUUCCAUGGAAUAGGCAGUGAUGGCAUUUGUUUUAUUUUCCUGAGGUGGAGAAAAACAAAUAGACCAUAACACUGUUAUUCCAUGGAAGAUAAUGACUCGUGGUUGACACUUGAUCUCUCCAGUCCAGUUCAGAUUCAAGCUAGCUGCUGUCU
rnacentral:pre_miRNA from 1 species